rnacentral:rRNA from 1 species
GACGAACGCUGGCGGCGUGCUUAACACAUGCGAGUCGAACGGAAAGGCCUGUCCUUCCUUGUGUUGGACGGGUACUCGAGUGGCGAACGGGUGAGUAACACGUGAGUGAUCUGCCCCCAACUUGGGUAUAAGCCUGGGAAACUGGGUCUAAUUCCCGAUAGGACUGCAGGGUGGUGCCUGUGGUGGAAAACGAUUUUCUAGUGGUUGGGGAUGAGCUCGCGGCCUAUCAGCUUGUUGGUGGGGUAAUGGCCUACCAAGGCGGCGACGGGUAGCCGGCCUGAGAGGGUGGACGGCCACAUUGGGACUGAGAUACGGCCCAGACUCCUACGGGAGGCAGCAGUGGGGAAUAUUGCACAAUGGGCGGAAGCCUGAUGCAGCGACGCCGCGUGGGGGAUGACGGCCUUCGGGUUGUAAACUCCUUUCGACCGCGAGGAAGCCGCCUGGUUGGAAGGGUGGUGACGGUAGUGGUAGAAGAAGCACCGGCUAACUACGUG